CAAUGGAGGAACUCUGAUGCAGCGACGCCGCGNUGAAGGAUGAAGUAUUUCUNAAANUAAACUUCUAUAAACAGGGNAAGAAAAUGACGGUACCUGUACUCUCCAAGCCCCGGCUAACUACGUGCCAGCAGCCGCGGUAAUACGUAGGGGGCAAGCGUUAUCCGGAUUUACUGGGUGUAAAGGGAGCGUAGACNGCACGGCAAGCCAGAUGUGAAAGCCCGGGGCUCAACCCCGGGACUGCAUUGGAAACUGCCCGUCUUGAGUGCCGGAGAGGUAAGCGGAAUUCCUAGUGUAGCGGUGAAAUGCGUAGAUAUUAGGAGGAACACCAGUGGCGAAGGCGGCUUACUGGACGGUAACUGACGUUGAGGCUCGAAAGCGUGGGGAGCAAACAGGAUUAGAUACCCUGGUAGUCCAAGGGCGAAUUC
rnacentral:rRNA from 1 species